rnacentral:rRNA from 1 species
AGACGUCUACAUUAGAUACCCCCGUAGUCCCAGCCGUAAACUAUGCGCGUUAGGUGUAUCGGUGACCACGAGUUACCGAGGUGCCGAAGGGAAACCGUGAAACGUGCCGCCUGGGAAGUACGGUCGCAAGGCUGAAACUUAAAGGAAUUGGCGGGGGAGCACAACAACGGGUGGAGCCUGCGGUUUAAUUGGACUCAACGCCGGACAACUCACCGGGACGACAGCAAUAUGUAGGCCAGGCUGAAGACCUUGCCUGAAUCGCUG